UACAGAGGUCUCAAGCGUUGUUCGGAUUCAUUGGGCGUAAAGGGUGCGUAGGCGGCGGGAUAAGUCUGGUGUGAAAUCUAGGAGCUCAACUCCUAAACUGCACUGGAUACUGCUCUGCUAGAGGACUGGAGAGGAGACUGGAAUUCACGGUGUAGCAGUGAAAUGCGUAGAUAUCGUGAGGAAGACCAGUGGCGAAGGCGGGUCUCUGGACAGUUCCUGACGCUGAGGCGCGAAGGCCAGGGGAGCAAACGGG
rnacentral:rRNA from 1 species